UUUGCAGGGACUGUUGUGAAUCGGCUGUUCGCUUGUCCAUGUGUUUCUUGCCGACAGUGUUUACUGCUAUAUCAAUUUGGGGAAAGUGGGCAGUUAAGUUAAACUUGGUAAUUGUUUUCCUUAACAAUCAUUUUCCUCCCAUGU